ACACAACAGGGUUGAUUUAGAAUAGGAAGAUUCUGAACCAUCAGAAUGAUGUUAGAUUGUACAGUACAUGCUUGACAAAUGUGUAGUACAAGGGCUGCUAGCUAUUGGUGAGACUGAAACAUUGCUAACCAUAAACUCAGUGGCCGAAACUACACAAGUACAAGGUUCAUAUAGAUAAGUGAGGGAAAUCACAUCAUAUGGAAAUACUAUCUAAUCUGGCCGAUGCCCAGACAUAGUUACAAAUGAUGACAGAAUAAACCAACACCCUGCACUAGCCUAAACAGACCAACACCAACGAGAAAAUCUGGCAAUUUUUGUUUGUGUGAUUCUUCAAGACUUCAUCGAAAUACAUCUCAUCUUCGACAAGUCUAAUUCUAAGCUUUGCAUGGUGGGUUCUCAGCAGAGCAUAUGAUAUUAUCCAACCAGGAUAAUUCACAACGCAAUAGAAAGGUUGCAGGGCUUCAAUAUGCAGUGACUGAUGGAGAUAUGCCGAAUGAAGUAGUCUGUCUGAACUCUGAACUCUGAACUAAUCCAGAUUUUCCUAGUUCCCAUCAAGUAAAUCCUAAACCACAGCAUGACGAGAAUCGAUUAGCAUCCUGAAAACUAAAUUCAGCUGGGCAACUAAUAGUUCUUCCAAUAAAAAACACCUUUCUCUUGAGAUGAAAUUGCUCCUGCAUUACUCAAAACAGAAUUUUCAGUGAGAUAUUAGUUGUUAUCAACUUAUUACUUGAGCGAUGUGAAAAAUUAUUUUAAAACAACCCACUGAUACCUGAGGAAUUAUGAAAGCUCACAAUAAAGAACAAUGAUGUAUAGUAACCUCGCAGUUUGUAACAUUUUACUUAUGAAUUUGAGCUAUGAAAUUGGUUGUCUGACACUGGCAGGCUCUGUAAUUCCUUUUACAACUUAGCAACCUAAGGAUCGACUUUCAGUUGGUACACUGCUAAUCUAUUAGUGAUCACUCAGAAUAUUAUGGACGUAAUUAACUGGAAUUUUUAGAGAACUGAUAUCAGUUUACGGGUCAUGCAGAAUCUAGUAAAUAGCACAUUGCAGCACUAGACCAUGGUAUCUGUUGUCUAAGUGUCAUUGACCGAUUAGUGUCAGGCCCACUGACAUCACAUGAUAAAUGAAGAUGACAGAAGUAGACCAAUGGAUGGACUUAACUGCCAAUGCGAAUUGGGUUUUGAAGAACAAGGGAGGUCCUUGUCGUCUGCCUCUGAAUUCUAUCAGCAUCCUCCUGAUGUAAAAGGGCUGGAGGUCUUUCAACAAGGGCUGUUACCCUGCACCUCCCAGCAUCAAUCCAUUCCUUGCUUCGAGCUGAAGCAUUUGGAACCGCCUCCGAGUCGAUGUGGCAGUGCUCCGAAAAAUUGCAGUGUCUAGCGAUUGUUGAGCACGCUCAGUUCCAGAUAGAAAACUAGUUACGUGUUUGACUUUGCUAUUUUGUAGUGUAUAACAACCGGUUAAAGUUCAAGAGCAUGAAUUUGGCAGUAUGACGAGGGUUACACGUACUUGUACUUCUAUCAAGUUAAUGAUAUACUAACAUGGAUGGGUGCAAACUUUCUAGCUGGACAGAACCUUUGUUGUUACAGUGAAGACUAUUUAAUAUAUGAACAUAUGGUAACAUUGUAACAUAAUCUCUCAACUCAACUAAUGUUGCAGAAGCCAACUCACCAAGAACGGCCUCUGAUAAUUUAUAUGGCUCAAUUAGUUAGGUGUGACUACAGUAUAUCAUCAACUGAGUUCCAAUUGUACAGUCUGGCAGACAUUCAAUGGAUUUAUUUCUAAGCAGAUUCGAAGGGUUGCUGUUGCAACUUUUAAGACAUUGGACUGAACAGGCAUGUGGAGCUAAUAGAACUGCUUCUAUAGACUGAACUAGAUAAAUUAAUAGGAGUUCAUCAAACAAAUCUAAAACAGUACAACUCUGUUUAGUUCUAUUUUCAGAGGUGAAGUAACAUUUCAUCUGAAAAUACGCCACCAAUCUAAACAUGACAAGAAGCCAAGAGAAAAAGGCUAAGUACGGGCACUUAGGCCUUUUCCACUGAUGUAAUCGAGACAGCAACGGGACUCGGUAUAUGUAGAAGAGUUUUAUCCAGAAGACAUGGCAGGUUUACCUGAAUCAUACUGUGAGGAACUCCAGCAAAACAGCCAUUGUACUGCUCAAUUCGGUUCAUGAUAGGAGCGUUUCUGGUUCAUCACGCAGCAGGACACCAGCAGAGUUAUAGGGCUAUGACAAACAGCACAACUGGAUGACCAAAGAACAGAUCCAUGUAGCCAGACACCCACGAUGCAGUGCCCUGUAU
rnacentral:lncRNA from 1 species